AAAAACCCCAUUAUACAUGAAACAGCCUUGCUUUUCAAGGAAGAAAAAGAAAGAAGUGAAAUAAAAGAGAAAGAAUGGGGAAGAGAGAAAAAAAACCACACAUAUGAAGAGAGAAAAGAAAAAGAAAAAAGCACAGAAAAGGACAUAUAUGAAGAAGAGAGAGGGACGACAUAACCAGAACUCUGUAAGACCCAUGAAUAAAUUUGAAUAAAUUGCCCUUCCAGAAGGUUUUUUUUAAAAAAAACCAUACCAUUUAUCGUAUUUUUCACUUGCUAAUUUCAUGUGCUUAUUUCCAGCAUUUAAGUGUUCCGGUUUUUGAACAUUUUUCGGAAGCCGAACGUCCGACGUGGCUGUCGGCUAUUGUUUCCGGGGUGCCUGCACCAAUCCGUGUUUGGUUUUCAAACACUUCGGAAGUCAAACUGGAACGGAUUAAGUUUGGCGCUAUUCUUUUUACUAUUUAUUUUGCGUUUUUGUUUUUGAGGCUUUUUCUGUUCAUUUGUUUUGAAAUGUUAAAAUGAUUAAUGACCAUUAGAUCCAGUCAUGGCCGACUCUGGCACUCAUCUCGCUUUACUGGCCUAGGGAGCCGGUGUACAGCUUCCGGGUCCUGUGGCCAGCAGGACUAAGCCGCUUCUGGCGGACCAGAGCAGCGCACGGAAACGCCGUUUACCUUCCCGCCGGAGUGGUACCUAUUGAUCUACUUGCACUUUGACGUGCUUUCGAACUGCUAGGUUGGCAGGAGCAGGGACCGAGCAACGGGAGCUCACCCCGUCAUUGCGGGGAUUCGAACCGCCAACCUUCUGAUCGGCAAGCCCUAGGCUCUGUGGUUUAACCCACAGCGCCACCCGCGUCCCAUAAGCAUUAAAAACAUUAAUAAAAUUUAAAGAGAAAGAAAAAUAGGGACGUCCUAAGGAAAAGCUGGACAUUCCAGGAUUAAGUCAGAAACUCAGAUGGCUUCUCUAAAUCAGGGAUGCCCCUGGAAAAUAGGGACACCUGAAGGGUCUGACACCUGCUCAAAACCAAUACCAGGAAGGUGAAGCAUUUCUCAAGCUCUCUCUCUCUCUCUCUCUCUGUGUGUGUGUGUGUGUGUGUGUGUGUGUUAGAGCUUCCAGAAAAGAGAAUAUAUAUAUAUAUAUAUAUAUAUAUAUAUAUAUGGAAUUUCAGAAAAAGAGAGUGCCACAGAGCCAGUGUGGCCCUGCAGACAUCUCUGACAUCUUCAUGCCAAGGGAGCAUUGGACGUUGACUAUUUUCACGGACUAGUAACACACCCUGUAGAAUUCUGCCCGUUAUGUUUUAUCUGCGCAAUCGGAAUGAAUUUCAGGAACCGAAAACGUCGUAUUGAAAAACAUGACUUUCUAGCCGUCUGGCCCCAAAACAGCAACAACGCAUUUUAUUGUGGUGACUGUAAAGUGUGUGCAGGACCCCAAAAAGAGGACACGACCGGGAAUUCCCGGGUUAAUGGCAACCCUAGUUUGAUAUUUCCCAUCCAUUGAUUAUAAACACUGCAGUGCUGAUAAAAAGGAUGGGGUUUGUAUCUAGUGCUAGAGCUACUCAAGAGACCUGUUCUUCAUCCACUUUAAAAUCCCACCUGAAAACCUUCUCUGUUCUGCCAAGAUUGCGAAUACAGUGGUACCUCGGGUUACAUACGCUUCAGGUUACAUACGCUUCAGGUUACAGACUCCGCUAACCCAGAAAUAUUGCUUCAGGUUAAGAACUUUGCUUCAGGAUGAGAACAGAAAUUGUGCUCCGGUGGCACGGCAGCAGCAGGAGGCCCCAUUAGCUAAAGUGGUGCUUCAGGUUAAGAACAGUUUUAGGUUAAGAACGGACCUCUGGAACGAAUUAAGUACGUAACCAGAGGUACCACUGUACAUCCUUUGACAAUCGUUAACUGAUGUCUGUUUUGAACUUUUAAAAGGUUUUUUCAUUUCAUAGUUUAUGUUUUUAUGGUUGCAAGCUGCUAUGAUGCAUAUUUUAAUGACACAGCAGUAUGCAAAUGUUUUUAUAAUAAUAAUAAUUUAUUAUUUAUACCCCGCUCAUCUGGCUGAGUUUCCCCACCCACUCUGGGCGGCUCCCAAUCAAGUAUUAAAAACAAUACAGCGUUAAAUGUUAAAACUUCCCUGAACAGGGCUGCCUUCAGAUGCUUUUUAAAGAUAGGAUAGCUACUUAUUUCUUUCACAUCUGAAGGGAGGGCGUUCCACAGGGUGGGUGCCACUACCGAGAAGGCCCUCUGCCUGGUUCCCUGUAACCUUACUUCUCACAAUGAGGGAACCGCCAGAAGCCCCUCGGCGCUGGACCUCAGUGUCCGGGUUGAACGAUGGGGGUGGAAACGCUCCUUCAGGUAUACAGGACCGAGGCCGUUUAGGGCUUUCAAGGUCAGCACCAACACUUUGAAUUGUGCUCGGAAACGUUCUGGGAGCCAAUGCAGAUCUCUCAGAACUGGUGUUAUGUGGUCCUGGCGGCCACAUUUUAUAAAUGAACCUAAUUUUAGUCAUGGCCAUUAACAUCAAUGGGUCAAUGAUGUGGUGGAUUUGUAUUUUGCCCGCCAACAUGAACGUUUCUAGGGUGGUGCAUAACCAUUGCUUCCUACAGGGACUUAUGGAAGUCAUAAGACAAAACAUCUGCAGGGCAUUAAAUUUGCAGCAGGCUGGUUGGAGCCGUUGCUCUGGCUAAGCAAAGGCCGAAAUCCAACACUUCUGUAUUUUGGAUCCCAUCACUUCAGUUUCCCGAUGAAGCAAAACCCCAUUCUUCCACCUGUUCCUACUUGCGUGGACUUUGUGUAGCCUUGGACGGUGCAAUGUAGCCGGCUGUAAAGCAACCCUAAUGACCCGAUUAUCUUUAAAUCGCCGGAAAAUUUUGAGCAAGAGAACUCGGUCCGAGUUCGUUCUCGUUUUCUCUGCCGCUCUGGAAAAGGCGCCAACCCUCCCAGGUCGGCACUAGGAAUUGCUCUCCUACUUAUCUCUCACGUGCAGUUUGGAUUCCAAAGCUCAAGCAAGAUAAUUCAGGACCUUGAACUCCCAUGAGAUAUACAUAUCCUCCCUUCGCCUUGACUGCGAGAAGAACCCUAAAACCCCCUUUUAAAAUCCCAGUCUAAUUUGGGGAGAUUUAUGACACAACAUUGAUAGCAGAAAGUGAGGAGGAAUUAAAGAACCUUUUAAUGAGGGUGAAAGAGGAGAGCGCAAAAGAUGGUCUGAAGCUCAACGUCAAAAAAACGAAGAUCAUGGCCACUGGUCCCAUCACCUCCUGGCAAAUAGAAGGGGAAGAAAUGAAGGCAGUGAGAGAUUUUACUGUCUUGGGCUCCAUGAUCGCUGCAGAUUAAAAGACGCCUGCUUCUUGGGAGAAAAGCAAUGACAAACCUAGACAGCAUCUUAAAAAGCAGAGAAACCACCUUGCCAAGAAAGGUCCGUAUAGUUAAAGUUAUGGUUUUCCCAGCAGUGAUGUAUGGAAGUGAGAGCUGGACCAUCAAGAAGGCUGAUCGCCGAAGAAUGGAUGCUUCCAGCUCCAGGGAGUCCGGGGAGUCACGAAGAGUCGGACACGACAAAACGACUAAACAACAACAACAACAACAACAAAUGACGCUGUGUUUUAAGAGUUGUGUUAUCUCCUCCUGGUUGAUAAGGUACACUUCUGAAUUCCAGUUGCUAAGGAAUCCCAAGUGAAGAGAUUAUUAUUAUUAUUAUUAUUAUUAUUAAGGACUUACAGGUGCAUAGUGUUCCCGAGCCUUCCUCUUCUGACUUAAAGCAGCAUAUUUAUUUUUUUAAAAAAGGGAGGGCUGAGUGCUUUGCAUGUGCAAAAGUGAUUUUUUUAGACAAUAGUACCUUUUCUUUGGGAAGCGGGUGGCGCUGUGGGUUAAACCACAGAGCCUAGAACUUGCCAAUCAGAAGGUCGGCAGUUCGACUCCCCGCAACAGGGUGAGCUCCCGUUGCUCGGUCCCUGCUCCUGCCAACCUAGCAGUUCGAAAGCACGUCAAAGUGCAAGUGGAUCAAUAGGUACCGCUCCGGCGGGAAGGUAAACGGCGUUUCCGUGCGCUGCUCUUGUUCGCCAGAAGCGGCUUAGUCCUGCUGGCCACAUGACCCAGAAGCUGAACGCCGGCUCCCUCGGCCAGUAAAGCGAGAUGAGCGCCUCAACCCCAGAGUCGGCCAUGACUGGACCUAAUGGUCAGGGUCCCCUUUACCUUUUCUUUUAAAAGCACAUCUCACAGAAAAAACGAUAGAAUUGCAUUUCUUGUGUCCCCCUUUCUCAUCAGAAGAGGUCACUGUUGCACUUUGGAUGAUAUUUCUGUUCAGUUUAGCCUCCCCUUCCCCCGAAGAAUUUCAAUUCAGAACAGUCCUUUUUAGGCAGCCCUUAUAAGGUCCUUAACUCCACCCAGGUGGCCUUCCCACACUUCUGUUCAGAUCCUGUUUUGCUAGUGAGAGCUGGACCAUAAAGAAGGCUGAUCGCCGAAGAAUGGAUGCUUUUGAAUUCUGGUGCUGGAGGAGACUCUUGAGAGUCCCAUGGACUGUAAGAAGAUCAAACUUCUCCAUUCUGAAGGAAACCAGCCCUGAGUACUCACUGGAAGGACAGAUCCUGAAGCUGAGGCUCCAAGACUUUGGCCACCUCAUGAGAAGAGAAGACUCCCUGGAAAAGACCCUGAUGUUGGGAAAGAUGGAGGGCCCAAGGAGAAGGGACGACAGAGGGCGAGAUGGUGGGACAGUGUUCUCGAAGCUACCAGCAUGAGUUUGACCAAACUGCAGGAGGCAGGGGAAGACAGGAGUGCCUGGCGUUCUCUGGUCCAGGGGGCCACAAAGAGUGGGAUACAACUAAACAACUAAACAACAAAGUUAACUCCACCUUUCUCUGUGUCAUUUACUGCUGGCUUCCUCCUGUCAUUUAAGCUAAAAUGAUGAUUAGUGAACCCCACGAGAAAGAAUCAUGGGAAGUGUAGUUCGUUAAGGGUGCUGUUAGGAGACAUGGGGAAGGGAAUAGGCGUCUCAUGAGCAUGAGACGCUUAAUCUCAGGGUCGUGGGUUUGAGUCCGACUUUGGGCAAAAGAUUACUGCAUUCCAGAGGGUUAGACUAGAUGACUCCAGGAGUCCCUUCCAGCUCUACAAUUCUGUGGUUCUAAUCCUGCAGGGGCAGAGACUGCCUUGUUUUGAUUGUAUGUAAGCUGUUCCGGGAGGGACGCGGGUGGCGCUGUGGGUUAAACCACAGAGCCUAGGAACUGCUGAUCAGAAGGUCGGCGGUUCGAAUCCCGCGACGGGGUGAACUCCUGUUGUUUGGUCCCUGCUCCUGCCAACCUAGCAGUUCGAAAGCACGUCAAAGUGCAAGUAGAUAAAUAGGUACCACUCCAGCGGGAAGGUAAACAGUGUUUCUGUGCGCUGCUCUGGUUCGCCAGAAGUGGCUUAGUCCUGCUGGCCACAUGACCCGGAAGCUGUAUGCCGGCUCCCUCGGCCAGUAAAGCGAGAUGAGCACCGCAACCCCAGAGUCGUCUGCGACUGGACCUAAUGGUCAGGGGUCCCUUUACCUUUACCUUAAGCUGUUCCGGGAGCCUUUUUGGCUGGAGAGCAAGAUGCAGACUCCAAAUAAAUAAAGAAGGGGUGCCCCUUUUAUUUUGGCCCCCUCCUCUUCACCCCCCAUCCUGUAUUUUGUCUCUGUGCCAUAUUUCUCUGCAGCUCCUCUCCCUGCAUUUUCCUGCCACCAUUCGCUCUCUCUUAAGAACGGCAGAGUUACGUUCCAAGAUCGUUCUCCCACCGGCAGCUGCUUAGAUUAACAUUAGCGAAACAUUGGAAAGCCUCCUGUUUGAAUUUGUUUGGUACCUGGAGAUCUGUUCAGCUGCUUUGAUGUUGGGGGUGGUGAGUGAGGAGGACGCACGCACAAAAUGAAAGCAUCAAGAAAAGCAAAAGAGUUGGACCAAUCUGUAGAAGCAAGGCAUCGUUUUACUGAAUUUGAUUCUGGCAAAGGAAACAAAUUCAUGCCACCUAUUUGUGGAUAACUCAACUUGGAUGAUGAUCUCAUCUUCAUCCCUUAUUUGGAUCCGAUUGCCUUUGUUACGGAAAUUACUGGAGGGGGCACAUCUUUAAAGUUAAAUAUUACAAAUAUUAUGCCUGAAUGUAUCCUUUCAACUUGACAGCUCAGGGAAGUUACCUAGCUUUAAAAAUAAUAUAAAAUCAUCUCCUUUCCCAGUUUCCUCCAUUCCAAAGCUAUUUUCCCCUUGAAAAAGAACUCCAGGAAGUUCCCAGAGGUGACAAUUGCUGGGCUCAUUGUUGGCCAAAUCUCAUCACCUGACUCACCUCAGGCUCCAGACAUGCAAAGGAACUUCUGUUGUACUUUUGGGUGGUGGGUACUUAAGACAUAUUUGUCUAUGCUGAUCUUAUACCUGAGUCUUGCCCUGCCAUGUCUGCUUAUGCUAAUCUGGUACCAAGGACUUGUCUGGACAUGUUUGCCAAGGUUAACCCCUCCCCUUCGAACUGUAUUCUGGGAUGUGGUGGGAAAGUUCAAAAGUCUUUGUCACCCCAUCCUCAGGGUUCAAAUUUGCUCUUUGAACCUAUUGCGCAAUAAACUUUGGUCUACAGCUAUUUGCUCCGGUUGGCUGGACUCCUUCCUUUAUUCCGCAGGGACCCACGGGCUCUGCCCGAUGAGCUGGGUGACUGAGCAGCCUCACGCCUAGAUUUUUCCGUAACACCUUCUUUCGUUGAGGACCUUGCAUCAGUUGCAUCGUAACUCUAAUUGGUUACCAAUCGGUUGAGUUACAUGGGAUUGUAGUUGUGGAAAGGAGUACGCCAAGGGUCAUAGUUCAGGGAUAUCCUACAGGUCGACCGCGAUCUACUAGUCAAUACACGGAGGUUUUGGUAGAUCACGGUCGAUCGCUGGCUCCUCCAUCCGGCCCCGGCCCCUUGCUCCACCCUCUAGAUCAUGAUACCAGAAGACGUAGCUCUCGCAGCGAGGCUGACUGUUUCAUUAGAAGAAGAGUUUGGAUUUGAUAUCCCACUUUAUCACUACCUGAAGGAAUCUCAAAGCGGCUAACCUUCUCCUUUCCCUUCCUCCCCCAGAACAAACACUCUGUGAGGUGUGUGAGGCUGAGAGACUUCAGAGAAGUGUUUAUACAGCAGCAAGAAUAUUAUUGGCCCAAAAAUGGAAGCAAGAAGAGUUACCGACGAUUGAAGAAUGGAGGAUGAAGUUAAUGGACUAUGCAGAAUUAGAUAAACUAAGAGGAAGGAUUCGAAACCGGCGAGACCAGAAAUUCACGGAAGACUGGAGUAAAUUUACGGACUAUUUGAAAAGUAGUUGUGAAGAACAGACGACGUUUGUAG